AUUGAACGCUGGCGGAAUGCUUUACACAUGCAAGUCGAGCGGCAGCGCGGGGCAACCUGGCGGCGAGCGGCGAACGGGUGAGUAAUGUAUCGGAACGUGUCCUGUCGUGGGGGAUAGCCCGGUGAAAACCGGAUUAAUACCGCAUACGAUCGAGAGAUGAAAGUGGGGGACCGCAAGGCCUCACGCGAUAGGAGCGGCCGAUAUCUGAUUAGCUAGUUGGUGGGGUAAAGGCCCACCAAGGCUUCGAUCAGUAGCUGGUCUGAGAGGAUGAUCAGCCACACUGGGACUGAGACACGGCCCAGACUCCUACGGGAGGCAGCAGUGGGGAAUUUUGGACAAUGGGGGCAACCCUGAUCCAGCCAUUCCGCGUGAGUGAAGAAGGCCUUCGGGUUGUAAAGCUCUUUUGUCCGGGAAGAAACGGUUUCACCUAAUACGUGAGACUACUGACGGUAUCGGAAGAAUAAGGACCGGCUAACUACGUGCCAGCCGCCGCGGUAAAAC
rnacentral:rRNA from 1 species